rnacentral:rRNA from 1 species
GAAUUUGAUAUGAUAAGGAUAUAGAUAAAUUAAUUUUUAAAUAUAUGUUUAAUUAUAUUUUAUUGGGAGGAUAGUUAAAUUUAAUAAACUUAAAUAAUUUAAGAACAUAAAUUAAUGGAUUAUGAAUUAAGAGUUAAUAAAGUAAAAUUAAUUACCUUAGGGAUAACAGCGUAAUAUUUUUAGUGAGAUCAUAUUUAUAAAAAUGUUUGC